AUUGAACGCUGGCGGCAUGCUUUACACAUGCAAGUCGAACGGUAACAGGCCGCAAGGUGCUGACGAGUGGCGAACGGGUGAGUAAUGCAUCGGAACGUGCCCAGUCGUGGGGGAUAACGCAGCGAAAGCUGUGCUAAUACCGCAUACGAUCUAUGGAUGAAAGCGGGGGACCGUAAGGCCUCGCGCGAUUGGAGCGGCCGAUGUCAGAUUAGGUAGUUGGUGGGGUAAAGGCUCACCAAGCCAACGAUCUGUAGCUGGUCUGAGAGGACGACCAGCCACACUGGGACUGAGACACGGCCCAGACUCCUACGGGAGGCAGCAGUGGGGAAUUUUGGACAAUGGGCGCAAGCCUGAUUCAGCAAUGCCGCGUGCAGGAAGAAGGCCUUCGGGUUGUAAACUGCUUUUGUACGGAACGAAAAGGUUUGGGUUAAUACCCUGGGCCGAUGACGGUACCGUAAGAAUAAGCACCGGCUAACUACGUGCCAGCCGCCGCCGUGA
rnacentral:rRNA from 1 species